GGGUUGUGAGGUUAAGCGACUAAGCGUACACGGUGGAUGCCCUGGCAGUCAGAGGCGAUGAAGGACGUGCUAAUCUGCGAUAAGCGUCGGUAAGGUGAUAUGAACCGUUAUAACCGGCGAUUUCCGAAUGGGGAAACCCAGUGUGAUUCGUCACACUAUCAUUAACUGAAUCCAUAGGUUAAUGAGGCGAACCGGGGGAACUGAAACAUCUAAGUACCCCGAGGAAAAGAAAUCAACCGAGAUUCCCCCAGUAGCGGCGAGCGAACGGGGAGCAGCCCAGAGCCUGAAUCAGUGUGUGUGUUAGUGGAAGCGUCUGGAAAGGCGCGCGAUACAGGGUGACAGCCCCGUACACAAAAAUGCACAUGCUGUGAGCUCGAUGAGUAGGGCGGGACACGUGGUAUCCUGUCUGAAUAUGGGGGGACCAUCCUCCAAGGCUAAAUACUCCUGACUGACCGAUAGUGAACCAGUACCGUGAGGGAAAGGCGAAAAGAACCCCGGCGAGGGGAGUGAAAAAGAACCUGAAACCGUGUACGUACAAGCAGUGGGAGCACGCUUAGGCGUGUGACUGCGUACCUUUUGUAUAAUGGGUCAGCGACUUAUAUUCUGUAGCAAGGUUAACCGAAUAGGGGAGCCGAAGGGAAACCGAGUCUUAACUGGGCGUUAAGUUGCAGGGUAUAGACCCGAAACCCGGUGAUCUAGCCAUGGGCAGGUUGAAGGUUGGGUAACACUAACUGGAGGACCGAACCGACUAAUGUUGAAAAAUUAGCGGAUGACUUGUGGCUGGGGGUGAAAGGCCAAUCAAACCGGGAGAUAGCUGGUUCUCCCCGAAAGCUAUUUAGGUAGCGCCUCGUGAAUUCAUCUCCGGGGGUAGAGCACUGUUUCGGCAAGGGGGUCAUCCCGACUUACCAACCCGAUGCAAACUGCGAAUACCGGAGAAUGUUAUCACGGGAGACACACGGCGGGUGCUAACGUCCGUCGUGAAGAGGGAAACAACCCAGACCGCCAGCUAAGGUCCCAAAGUCAUGGUUAAGUGGGAAACGAUGUGGGAAGGCCCAGACAGCCAGGAUGUUGGCUUAGAAGCAGCCAUCAUUUAAAGAAAGCGUAAUAGCUCACUGGUCGAGUCGGCCUGCGCGGAAGAUGUAACGGGGCUAAACCAUGCACCGAAGCUGCGGCAGCGACGCUUAUGCGUUGUUGGGUAGGGGAGCGUUCUGUAAGCCUGUGAAGGUGUGCUGUGAGGCAUGCUGGAGGUAUCAGAAGUGCGAAUGCUGACAUAAGUAACGAUAAAGCGGGUGAAAAGCCCGCUCGCCGGAAGACCAAGGGUUCCUGUCCAACGUUAAUCGGGGCAGGGUGAGUCGACCCCUAAGGCGAGGCCGAAAGGCGUAGUCGAUGGGAAACAGGUUAAUAUUCCUGUACUUGGUGUUACUGCGAAGGGGGGACGGAGAAGGCUAUGUUGGCCGGGCGACGGUUGUCCCGGUUUAAGCGUGUAGGCUGGUUUUCCAGGCAAAUCCGGAAAAUCAAGGCUGAGGCGUGAUGACGAGGCACUACGGUGCUGAAGCAACAAAUGCCCUGCUUCCAGGAAAAGCCUCUAAGCAUCAGGUAACAUCAAAUCGUACCCCAAACCGACACAGGUGGUCAGGUAGAGAAUACCAAGGCGCUUGAGAGAACUCGGGUGAAGGAACUAGGCAAAAUGGUGCCGUAACUUCGGGAGAAGGCACGCUGAUAUGUAGGUGAAGCGACUUGCUCGUGGAGCUGAAAUCAGUCGAAGAUACCAGCUGGCUGCAACUGUUUAUUAAAAACACAGCACUGUGCAAACACGAAAGUGGACGUAUACGGUGUGACGCCUGCCCGGUGCCGGAAGGUUAAUUGAUGGGGUUAGCGCAAGCGAAGCUCUUGAUCGAAGCCCCGGUAAACGGCGGCCGUAACUAUAACGGUCCUAAGGUAGCGAAAUUCCUUGUCGGGUAAGUUCCGACCUGCACGAAUGGCGUAAUGAUGGCCAGGCUGUCUCCACCCGAGACUCAGUGAAAUUGAACUCGCUGUGAAGAUGCAGUGUACCCGCGGCAAGACGGAAAGACCCCGUGAACCUUUACUAUAGCUUGACACUGAACAUUGAGCCUUGAUGUGUAGGAUAGGUGGGAGGCUUUGAAGUGUGGACGCCAGUCUGCAUGGAGCCGACCUUGAAAUACCACCCUUUAAUGUUUGAUGUUCUAACGUUGACCCGUGAUCCGGGUUGCGGACAGUGUCUGGUGGGUAGUUUGACUGGGGCGGUCUCCUCCUAAAGAGUAACGGAGGAGCACGAAGGUUGGCUAAUCCUGGUCGGACAUCAGGAGGUUAGUGCAAUGGCAUAAGCCAGCUUGACUGCGAGCGUGACGGCGCGAGCAGGUGCGAAAGCAGGUCAUAGUGAUCCGGUGGUUCUGAAUGGAAGGGCCAUCGCUCAACGGAUAAAAGGUACUCCGGGGAUAACAGGCUGAUACCGCCCAAGAGUUCAUAUCGACGGCGGUGUUUGGCACCUCGAUGUCGGCUCAUCACAUCCUGGGGCUGAAGUAGGUCCCAAGGGUAUGGCUGUUCGCCAUUUAAAGUGGUACGCGAGCUGGGUUUAGAACGUCGUGAGACAGUUCGGUCCCUA
rnacentral:rRNA from 1 species